rnacentral:rRNA from 1 species
AUUGAACGCUGGCGGCAUGCUUUACACAUGCAAGUCGAACGGCAGCGCGGGGGCAACCCUGGCAGCGAGUGGCGAACGGGUGAGUAAUGCAUCGGAACGUAUCCUGUAAUGGGGGAAAACGUAGCGAAAGUUACGCUAAUACCGCAUACGCUCGAGAGAGGAAAGUGGGGAUCGCAAGACCUCACGUUAUAGGAGCGGCCGAUGUCCGAUUAGCUAGUUGGUGGGGUAAAGGCCUACCAAGGCGACGAUCGGUAGCUGGUCUGAGAGGAUGAUCAGCCACACUGGGACUGAGACACGGCCCAGACUCCUACGGGAGGCAGCAGUGGGGAAUUUUGGACAAUGGGCGAAAGCCUGAUCCAGCCAUGCCGCGUGCGGGAAGAAGGCCU